UACGUAGGGCGCAAGCGUUGUCCGGAAUUAUUGGGCGUAAAGAGCUCGUAGGCGGUUUGUCGCGUCGGCUGUGAAAUCCCGAGGCUCAACCUCGGGCCUGCAGUCGAUACGGGCAAACUAGAGUGUGGUAGGGGAGACUGGAAUUCCUGGUGUAGCGGUGAAAUGCGCAGAUAUCAGGAGGAACACCGGCGGCGAAGGCGGGUCUCUGGGCCAUAACUGACGCUGAGGAGCGAAAGCGUGGGGAGCAAACAGG
rnacentral:rRNA from 1 species